rnacentral:tRNA from 1 species
UGGCUGAGCGGUAAAGCGCUAGGCUUCAGAACUGGUGUCCCGGGUUUGAGUCCUGG